rnacentral:lncRNA from 1 species
UUGUGCAUAGAGAAAUGGGGGAAAAGGGACAAAAGGACACAUAUAAUUGUGUUCAAUAUUAUUCAACCCCCACUGCAGUAAAGUGUUUUAGCAAGUUUAACAUUUAUUAAACAAGGGCUUGUAUAAUAAGGACUUGUAUAAUAGACAACUGCAACUUAAAUAAUAUUUUAAAUUUUAAAUAUUUUUUCUAAUAUACCAACAAAUGCCCGUUUGUGAUUUCCUCAUUGAUAACAUUAUUUAACUCUUCAGUCACAUACAACAUUAGUACUUGACACAAGUCUCUUGGAGCGAUCAACAGGUAUUUUAGCCCAUUGGGCGAAGGCUUCCAGUUCUUUAACAUUCUUGGGCUUCCGUGUUACAACUGCAUUCUUCAAGUGUCACCAGUGAUUUUCUAUGGGAUUUAAGUUGGGUAAUUGCGAUGGCCACUCCAGAAUCUUCCAGCCCUUCUUCUGCAACCAUGCCAUGGUAGAAUUGGAGGUAUAUUGGAGAGUGUUGUAAGCAUUUGCAGACAGCUUCCUUGUUCUGACACACCCAGUUAGUGUUUCCUCUGUACCUUUAAAUUUAAACUUGUGAAUUAUGCUUCCAGUUGUGUGUCUUGAAAUGUUUAAUGUCUUUAUAUCCAUAUCCUUGCUUAUGAAGAGCAAUUACCUCCUCUCUGGGCUUUUUUACUCAUUCCCUGGACUUGUUGCAAAUAUACCAUUAACUGUCUAGAAGGAGCUGAGUAUUUAAGUCCUUUUAAAUCUGCUUAAUUGUUGCUCUGUGGUGGUUCUGUGGGGUCCUGACCAUUAAAGAACAGGUGGUGGUCAUAAUAUUCACAUUAAUUAUUGUAAGGAGAUAAUGUAAAGUUGCAAUAUUAUGACAAUAAUAAAUUUGUUCUUAUCAGCAUGGUACUUUUCUCUGUGUUGCAGCUCCUGAAGAGUGCUCAUGCUACAGUUAUGAGCCGCUGCUGUAUUCUCUCUCAGCAGCAGCAGUGCUGCUAUUCCUGUGUGUGCUGGUGCUGGCCGCUGCCUACUGUAGGAGGCCGCCCAGCCAGCCCAAACCACCGGUAGCUCCCGUCUACGAGGAGAUGACCGGCGUGAGAACAGCCAGUGGAAAGGCAGGCGGUCAUCACCUGGGCCUGUAUUCAAACACGCAGGAGGAAGCAGACACAUCUGUAUACAUCCGCCCCCGCAAAGAGAACCCCUACGACCCCUUACCUGGGGGUGACCCCUACAGCUUAUAGGCUACUGAGGAGCACAAAGCAUGCCGCAUGAAACGAUCACCACUGAGAUCUUUAGUCCAGUAUAAAUCUGAAGAAUUUACAAUCGCACAGUAAACAUGAUUGAGAGAUUUUGUUCCAGCAUGAUUCUGUACAAUCUGUUUUUAUCACGAUGGACAGAUUUUGCCACAGUUUGAAUCUGUACUAUCAGUGCUUUGUUUACAGUCUAAUAGGAUUUACGAUAAAGAGAUUUUACUCCAGUAUGAAUCUGCAGAAUCUGUAGUUUUUAGUCUCUCAGUAAUGAUGGUGGACAGAUUUAAUUUCCAUAUGAAGCUGUAAAUCUGUAGUCUCACUCUCUCUAGAAUCUACUCCAGUAUGAAUCUGAAGAAUUAUGAUAGAGAGAUGUUGUUGUGGUGUGAAUCUUUAAAAUCAGUGUUUUUUACAAUCUAACUGUAAUUUCGAUGGAGAUAUUUUGUUCCAGUAUGAAUCUGUAAAAUCUGUGUUUUUACAGUCUCGCUCUAAUUAUAAUGAAGAUUUUGAUUCUGGUAUGAAUUUGUAAAAUCUGUUUUUAGAUUCUCGCUGUAAUUAUGAUGGUAUGGUUUUGUUCCAGUAUGAAUCUGCACAAUGUUUUUACAGUCUCGCUGUAAAUAUAAUGCAGACUUUUAUUAUGAAUUUUUAUUCUGCUAUUAUUCCAGUAUGAAUCUGUAGGUUUAAACCUUCUCAGUAAUUUUGGUGAAGAGAUUUUAUUUCAGUAAUUAAGUUCAGUAAUUUUUUAUCUCUGUAAUUGUGAUAAAUCUGUAUAAAUCUGUAGAAUUUACCCAAGUAAAUAUGGUGGAGAUUUUGUUCCAGUAUGAAUCUAUAAAAUGUGUUCUCAGUAAUUAUGGUGGAGAUAUUUUGCUUCAGUAUGAAUAUGUAUACGUGGCAGUU